AACUCAAAGGAAUUGACGGGGGCCCGCACAAGCGUUGGAGCAUGUGUUAAUUCGAAGCACGCGCAGAACCUACCAGGUUUGACAUGGGAUCGCCGCGGCGAGAGAUCGCCGUUUUGCAGCAUGCAACGAUCCGCACAGGUGCUGCAUGGCUGUCGUCAGCCCGUGUCGUGAGAUGUUGGGUUAAGUCCCGCAACGAGCGCAACCCUUGCCAACAGUUACUACGCAAGAGGACUCUGUUGGGACCGCCGUUGACAAAACGGAGGAAGGUGGGGAUGACGUCAAAUCAUCAUGCCCUUUAUGACCAGGGCUACACACGUACUACAAUGGCCGUUAACAGAGGGGGCCGAACACGCGAGUGGGAGGAAAUCCGAUAAAAGCGGUCUCAGUUCAGAUUGCAGGCUGCAACCCGCCUGCAUGAAGUCGGAAUUGCUAGUAAUCGCGGAUCAGCAUGCCGCGGUGAAUACGUUCCCGGGCCUUGUACACACCGCCCGUCACACCAUGAGAGUCGGGGGCACCCGAAGUCGGUAGUCUAACCGCAAGGAGGACGCUGCCUAAGGUGAAACCGGUAAUUGGGGUG
rnacentral:rRNA from 1 species